rnacentral:lncRNA from 1 species
CCUGAUUUUAUCACUUCCGUUGACGAGUCUUGUGUCAGCAUCUUGAUGCGAGGUACAACUUCUAGGUGAUCUUCUUCAUGUUUUACGUUGUUGUACUUUUUGCUGCAAUGUGGACGUACAUAUUCUAGCAGAUAUAUCUUCAUGCUUUACCUUGUUUACCACUGCCCUGAUGUGGAGGUACAGAUUCUAGCUGAUAUAUAUCGUCAUGUUUUACCUUUUACCAACAUCCAAGAUUUUUGUUUCCUCAUUUCUUUCAAUUAGAUAGAAGAUGGGACGUGCUUUGUUGUAGUUUCCUCUUACUUUGACUAAGUAGGACAUUUUUUUGAAAUACCAAAUUGUGGUGUCGCUACCCCUACGCACCACGGUUUUGCAGCACCCUCAGCUAAAGUAAACCAUUCCAAGCCUACCAUACUCGAAACAUGGAAGCAUGCAAACUUCAGAGCAUCUUGGUGUCGCUGGCCACCCGAUCUCUACAACCACCACAAAAUGCUACAGGACCAACCAGGCCGGUGUCCUGACCACUGAAUCAUGUCACUGUGUGGGCGCCUAGAUCUCCCAUGUGUCUGUCUAAAGCCUGAGGGGCCAACCUCGCUCGAGCGUCGCCAGCCAGCACUCAUCUGCACAUGAACAAAUGGUUGGAUAUAUGUGCCUCCUCCGUCUCUUAUUCCCCGAAACAUAAUUUGAUGAGUAGAGUUUCUAAUCAUUUAUGGCACACUGGCAUAUGAUUAAACUGCACAAGUUAGAUUGACAUUUUGUGGAGAACGGUCGUCGGUUGGGAGCCUCGCCGUCUACCUCCACCAGCCGGCCCACACACCAUUGCUCCCCGCGUGUCGCGCCCCUCCCCGAACCAUCAUGCCUUCUAAUUAGUGUACGUGGUAGUCUGGUAAAAGUGGAGAAUAAUUCGGGUAAUGUCUAUGGAUGUACUACCAGUAUUGCGGCUAACCUGCCUGGCAGUGAGAUGCAUCUAGAUUAGAUCUGAUUACUGAUAUAGAAGAUGCAAUUAAUUAUCUAAAAUUUUCCUUGUACCAUUUUCCAUGAGAUUAAUGUAAUUGGGAAUACCAGUGCUUGUUUGAAUCAUUUAGUUAAAUAAUUUUAUAGAUAAAACUUGUAUUUGUAUGUUUUGGAAUUACUAUUAUCCUGGUAAAAUGACCACAAGUGAAAGGGUUGUAAAGAUUAAUUAUUCUUUGUGGAAGCAUUACUGGUCUAAUUAAUAGAUGUACAUGCAUCAAUAAUGUUGUUGAGCUUUAGUUGAUUCUAUAGUGUUGUACUAUUCGCAAAGUUCUAUUUUGAGAAAAAAAUGGCAAAUUCAAUAUUGUGCCAGCUAAAUGGCGCACCCGCUGUAGCAAGUGAGUUCCCAUCAAAAUCACCCUGAGCAUAUUUUUGCUGAUUUUCAUGAUUGCUCUUCUGCCAGGAACAAUGUUCCUGGCACUUCGACCACACAACUGUAUGUUCAUGUUCCAGUGUCCUUAUUCAUAGUUAAUUUCAAUCACAAAGUGACAAAUGUCAGUCUAUUAGUUAACAUGUGUAUCUCCGUUUCUUCUAAGUUUCAAUCGACCUACUCUGAAGUUGUUCCUAAGAUAGUGCCUCAAGCAAAGGGAAUGAGCCUCAGUUAGUGCAUCUAGCAAGUUCGUGAUCCUUUGUUGGGAUAAACAUUUGUGCAAGAGCAAUAGUCUCGUCACUAUUGGUUGUUAGUACUGUUGCUUGUUAAUUCUACUUUUUACUUCAGUUCGUAAUGCAAUAUAGUUAUGCUUGACGCACUAUAAGAAGACUGCCAUUUUGCCUUUUGACCUUGGUUUCUUCCUCCAGUAAGUAAAUGCACAUAGUUCUUUUGUAAAUUAGAGCAUACGACUUGUUGAUCGAUCUCUGAGCUCAGUAAUAAUAUUAAGCCUCAAUCUGUUUAUUGUGCACACAAGAUGAGAAAGAAUUGCUACCCAAGAAUAUGUACUUUAUAAACAUUUCAACUGUAAUCUGGAAAAAAAUUAAAUAAAUAAGGAAACAGUAUAUUCAUAUAUCUUUUUUGUACUUUGAUGGUGUCACACCACAAGUUCCGAGAUGGUAAUUGUGCUGCAUAUGUCUGCUCUCUUACUUUGUUUUUCUGAACAGGUAGGUUCUGGAAGAUGUCAUGAAGAAUUUCUUUCAGAGAAUUUGCGUGAGGAGUGUCUAAAUGAUUUUUAUCUUCUGAACAUAUUCUUGUAUGACUAACUGAAUUCAUUUUUUCAAAACGUCGGUACUUUUCCUUUUUCAUUUAUGUUGCUCGAUUGAGUCCACAUGCCUGCCCUUACUGAGUUUGCUCAAGAGUAAGAUAAACUUGAUAUUUAUGUUUGUCGGCAGCAGCGUGACUAGCUGAUCUGUAGCGGCGCGGAAGGUGAGCUUGGCUGCAGGUAGCAGCUCCUUUGGCUGAUCUGCGGCGAUGCAGAAGUUGGGUUGGAAAGAAGCACGACCGGCUGCUCUGAAGUGGGACGUAGGGAGAGCUUCGUAAGAGAUAGGGAGGGAGCUCUAUUGGCCCGUGCAUGACAUCCAACCCAAUGGCAUCAUGCCCUGGUAAGCUUCUUAUCUGUUCCAAUUCUUGCACUUGGUCUUUUUCUUUCUAACCCUAAAAAUAGAGUGUGCCUUGAUUCCUAAUCAUGCUUUAAAAGCUGAUAUCCACCUCGUUUAUCUUGCUACUAGUGGUAAUGUGUGCAAGUAUGAUUUUGUGAUAAUGCCAGAUGUUGUGUGCCUUCUUUAUUCAUGGUACGAGUACUCUAACCUGGCUCGUAUGAUAAUGUAUCACUGCUAUAGAGCACAAACGACGUGUUUUUUAAUUAUAUUUUAGUUGACAUGGAUUUCAUUUAUCUUGUGAAUUGUAUAGUCAGAUCAUGAAUUUUUAUGAUUGAUUGAUUUUCAUGGUCACAGGUAGGCAUGGUUGUGUGGCCACGGGGAAAAUGGAGCAAGUAGCAUGUGAGGAGUUUAACAAAUGGGGACAAGGGACAGUUUAGUUAAUUAAGGCUCUAUGUUAGUUUCAAGUUUUAUCCUUGUUGCGGUAAAAAAUUAUGGUUGGAUUAACCACCAUGUACAUCUUUAAUUACUUUUAAAUAAGAAAUAUAAUCAAAAUAUUCUUUUGAAUUGAUAAAAUUUAUAUAAUUUGUACAAGUACAUGAAGGUGGAACAGGAGGAAGGGUGGGAGAAGAUUAGAUAUCGUUUCAUUUUCUUGCAAGGAAAGGAUGGUUACGAAGAAAUGACAAGAAAUGGAGGGACAAUCAGUUUUAUUACUGUAUGGAUGGAAACCACAUGCCAGCUUGUCCAACAUAUUUCUACAUUGAGUCAAUUAUUCAAUCGCUAUAUUUUUUUUAUUCCAUGGCAAUGCAUGGUCAUUCAACUAUUCAAAUUUACGG